GAGUUGGAGGAAGUUUAAGAAAUAUUACACAACGGCAAUGUGGGACUGAACUCCAGCUAUCUCACUGCAGUUUACUGUCAUAGUGUUUCCAGAUUAAUUCCCAUCGAAAAAUCGUAGUGUGAUGGGCAGCAUAACAAGAAAGGAAGAAAAGAGCGAGAGGGGAGAAGACGGCUCAGACGUGCCGCCAAGUGUCGCUGUCAGCUGUGCGGUGUGUUGUCAGCUGUGUCAGUCCCACCCCCUGCCUGCCGCCUGCCCAGCUGCCCUAAGCCUUUCCUGCACUGACGUUUGACUGGCUGGUCACUUAAACGCACAGUCAUUAGCGCUAUGUUUAUGAUUGCCCUCCUUGGCCCUAGCCAAGCGCGGACGACCGAUGAUGUGAGAAAUUUUAAGAUUUGCUCCAUUGUGAAGAAAACUGCAGACGCGAGGCAAGAAAUGAGUGGAACAGGAAGAUGAAACCACACAACAGCCCUUAUCAGAAAGAAGGCAUGCUUCAUUUCAUCCUCACCUGCACUCACUACCUACUAAGGGCAGGUGGUGACAAUUACCUCCCUGGUACCCUGGCACCCUGGAACUCUGGCACUCACCUUCCCAGCCCACGGCAAGCAGCGGUGGUACGUUGUGCUUUAUGACAAACCUCUCCUCAAUCACCAUCUGUGUUGCUGUGACAAUCUGUGCCAUGAUGAUGAGGAGGUCACCUGUGGGUCACACAGAUUUGAUAGAGAAGGAUGGAGAAAUUAAUAAAAAAAAGAGGAAAAUUGGUGAAAGAAGAAGAGAAAGGAGAGAGGAGAAAAAGAUAACAUAAAAUGGGACGUGUUGAAGAAGAGGAGAUAAAAAAACAAGGAAAAUAUAAGGAAAAUAGACGCUUUAUGAGCCACUGUCCUUACCUCUCAACAUCU